CACAACAAUCCAUAUAACCAUCAUAGCCGCGGCCAUCAACAACACCAGCGAACCGAUCACCUAGAGUGCCAUCCGUGUGGGGCCCUUAGCAACGUCUGCGAGUGCCCCCCGCCAAUACAUCUCCCCACAAUUCAGCAGUCGAGCACGCACCAGCACACAUCCACACACACAGACAUACACGCACAACGACACACAGACAGACACGUCACCUACGACAGCUCGUUGCCCUUUCCCGUUUCGAGGCUCUAACGAGCACUGAUUUCAGCGACGAAGCAAGGACCUCCUCCCUCCCUGUUGUUUUGUUCUCGUGCGGCUGCUUGUUUCUUACUCUGCCAUUGAACUCAUUUUGUUUUUGUCUUUGUUUCGUUGUUUGGACAGCUUCCUUUUCUCUCUUUUGGUGCGCGCGCAUAUGUACGUUUCGGGUUGCCUUAUAUUACACCUCUCGAUUUAACUCUGCCGUCUCACGUUCUCCCGCCUUAGCAGUGUGCGCGUGUGCGCCCACUCCGCUUGUGCCCCUCCCCUUUCUUUGUGCGCCCUUUAUUAUUCUUCAUCUCCCGCUAACUCUCUUUUUCUCUCGCUCUCGCUCUCUCUGUUUGCGUCUUGGGUCUGUGAUAACAGUUGUGCUGGCGACGUGACGUUUUUUUUUGAUCUUCGACCUGGUUUUUUUUUUGCCUUAUUUAAGCAGUGGUCGUUUCUGUCAGCCCCUUCUCUGUUGUCUUCGCGUCCCGUGGUGCAGCCCCUCUCGCUGUCUUCUCUUCUGCCCUGCCAGCGCCCUCCUGACCUUGUGAACACACGCACCAAUUUCACCUCGGCGAAAACGUCGUGCUCGAGCCCCCACAGCAGCGCCGCACAGGCGCCGUCAUCUUCGCCGGCGGUAACCCCAACUUUCAGCAGUGAGUCAUUGCUACGCUCAAUGACUCCCUCUCUCGCCGCGAGUGCAAUGACGAGUCACGUGACAGUGCACGAUGUGGACGGCGAUGAAGAUAUUGAGACCGACCUCGUGCCGUGGUACAAGCAGCCGCUACCCUUGGGUACGCAGGUGAUGCGGUUCAUACUUUUGCUGCUGCUCACGGUGAUGUUCCUCGGCGUGGCUAUUCUCGUCGCGAACGCACGUAUGCCGGACCCCAAGAAGGUGCGCCCGCUGCCCGAUCUGCUUCUCGAGUGGAUUCCGAAGGUGACGCUUGUCGAGAAUGGCAGCAACGUCAUCAUCUUUCUGCUGAACGCUACGACGGUGGUGGUGGGCUUCAAGGUCUUUUUGCUGGAGCGACACAUGAAUGGACUGCCCAGCGUUACCUUCUUGGUGGGUAUCCCGAAGAUCGGCUCCUUUCUAAACCGCAUCGCGUUUGGCGUUGUCGACUCGGGGCGGCGUCCCUUCCCGCUGAAGAAUGUCUUCCCAAUUAUGACCAUUCGCUUCCUGACGUCGUACGCCGUGGUGAUGGUGUUCCGCACAUUUGUAAUCAUGGGGACGUCGUACCCGGCAACCGACAACCACUGUCAGAAUCCGCAAGUGAUCGAGCACCCAGUACUCAACGUUAUCCUUACCCUCGUCACACUAAGCAGUGGUGCGAUCCACUGCGGCGAUCUGAUGUUCAGCGGGCACACGAUGAUCCUCAGCCUCGCCUUCAUUCUAGCGUGGGACUACAGCCCUUUUCUGCACCCGUGGGCGGUGCGUGUGUGGGUGUCCGCGCUUCUGCCCAUCAGCUAUUACUGUAUCCUUGCCUCUCGCUCCCACUACACGGAUGACAUCCUGGUGGCGAUGUACGUGAUGAUCGCGACGUAUAAGCUCAUCGAUCAUGCAGAGACUGGCGCGCCGUGGCAGAUGCAGCUGCUGAUUCGCUGGAUGCCAUGGCCAGGCGCCAACGCGAUCGAGGAGAAAUGGGCGGCUGAAGAGGUUGUAGUUGUUGUUCAAACGCCUGCAGAAGACUCGACUGAUGCGUCGGCGGCUGUGCCUGAGCACGAAAACCCCAUCAAGGAGACGCUUCCUGCGCAAACGGCAACGGGCGGUUCUAGUAGUAGCGGUACACCCCUGUUGAGGAUGCACGACUCACCAACCAUCGAACAUCUGCACUCUGGUGUGCGCGAGACGACACAAGGGUGACACAGGACCUCGUCGCCCUAUGCACGGUGCCGCUCUCCCGUCAUUUGUUGAUCUGUGCUUGCAAAGGUCGGUGAAAGACUGUGCACAGCUCGAUGGCUCUGAUGCUCACGGCGGCGAAUGCACACGAGGCCUAACCUAAGCACCGGCUCUUGAGUUUCUUUGUUGUGUUGCGCGCAGAAGUUUAUUUCCCAUUGACACCGCCGCCUUCCCUCUCUCUCCCUUUUCCAUGCGCAUGCGUAUUUUUCUGUGUCGUCUGAGCGGAUCUUUGCCUUCUGUUGUUUCUAUGUUUAUUUUUCGUUGUUUGAUGCUUUUGUUUUUGUUCUUCUUCGUUGUUCCCGCUGUUGAUGUUUUUGCACUAUUCCACCCGGGACCCCUCGAUUCUCUGCUGCUCUAGCCGUUCCACAAGUGCCACGCGACUGCUAGAGGCGCCUCAGAGAGAGAGAGAGUGAGGGAUUUGGGCACCUCGAAGGCACACCUGCAUGUAUUUAGGUGUAUCUGUGUACCGACGUGGAGCGUCGGUGUGAAGCAGGUCGUGCUGAAUUGCAAUAAAAAAGAAACGGCAGUAAAAGUAGAAGCUCGUAAUCUUUAUUUGUGACUGCUGGCGGGUACCUCUCAACCGACAAAGGAAAUGCCCUAUGCAGCGACAGACUAUCCCUGGCAUACGCAUGGACCUGAGUGAGCCGUGUUGCCCAUGCUUUCUCUCUAUUCCCUUUCCUCAAUGAAUUUCCAGAUUGGCAUGGCACAGAGGGACAGAUAACUCUCCUUCCUUUUCGGUGAAUUCGAAUGAAAACCUUUUCUGUGCCUGAAUAAGGGGGAUGUUUUCUUAACCAUCUUGCUCCAAAACC
rnacentral:misc_RNA from 1 species